AGUGAACGCUGGCGGCGUGCCUAAUACAUGCAAGUCGAACGGAGUGGCGCCCGGGUGAUUAAUAUAUAGCUAACUUUCCCACUACUAAGGGACAACAGUUGGAAACCACUGCUAAUACCUUAUAGUAAUGGACAGGGCUAUAUCGUAUCAGCUAGUUGGUAAGGUAACGGCUUACCAAGGCGAUGACGAGUAACUGGUCUGAGAGGAUGAGCAGUCACACUGGAAGUGAGACACGGUCCAGACUCCUUCAGGAGGGAGCAGUAGGGAAUAUUGCACAAUGGGGGAAAAGCUGAAGCAGCAGCGCGGCGUAGAGGAUGACACUUUGCGGAGAGUAAACUCGUUUUCUUGGGAAAGCGGUACCCAAGGAAGAGGCACCGGCUAACUCCGUGCCAGCAGCCGCGGUAAUAC
rnacentral:rRNA from 1 species